rnacentral:rRNA from 1 species
AAUUCAGUGAAUCACUCGAAUCAUUUGAACGCACCUUGCGCCCCUUGGUAUUCCGAGGGGCAUGUCUGUUUGAGUGUCAUC